UUAUACAUAUAGACUUAGCAGUAUGCUAUAAAAGUGAAGAUAUAGCACUAUAAAAUUCCACCAUAAAGUAAAUUGUUCAAGAUUGUGGUCCAAGCUCUUCAAAAUGCUCAUAAAUCAGAAGGUGUAUUUAUUAAACAAUAUUUUAUAUGUACCUAUAAUAAUACAAUACUAUACUACACAAAUUGGACCUAAAAUGAAUUCUCUUGCUAUAUUAAAUAUUAAACAUUAAAUAGGCAGAAAUUUUGUUUGCACUGGACUUAGAAUAUAAGAAGAAAAUUUGGGACAACCUGAAUAGUUGAGGUCUCUUGAGAAACCCUUCAGCUUCUUUUCCUCCAAAUAAAUUUCUCUGUAGCAAAUGGAAGCCAUCCAAAUGAUUCCCUAGCUACCUCAAAGUACUGUAAUUUGUCUACUUCACAAAGUGGAGGACUAUAUCUAGCAAUAAUUCAAGAAAAAUGCAGUGACUCCCAUUAUAUCUUAGGCACUAUGCUAGGAAGUUUAUGCAUAUCAUUUUGUUUGAUUUUAAUAGCAACUUCAUGAAAUAAAUCAUCAUAAUAAAUCACUAUUUCAGAUAUUGAGAAACCACAGAAAGAGAGAAGUUAAAUAAUUUUCCUGUCAAAGACCACAUCAAUGAUGAAGCCAGAAUUUGAGCUCAUGUACUUAACCACUGGACUACCUGCCUGCCCUGUCGAGGAACAGCUAAGGUUGUCAUAGAGUCUUGACUGUGUAUAGAUAGUUGUUUGAAGAGAGAAAAAAGGCAGGAGGAUCUGGGGCAUAUGUUUAAAUCAGGCAUUGGCAUCUGUACUAGAAUUGAAAGGUGGAACUAUUAUUGUGUUCUAUUUAUUGAGUAUAGGUAUACCAUAUUCAAUGUAUUUCUCUGCUUCAUACACUAUCCAAGGUGAUAAAAGUGUUUAUGAAGAGGGAUUAGGAAAUAUCUGCUGUGUUUAGGUCAUAGUCCAACCAAAGGAUUAAUUAACAUUUGCCUCUUUUUUCUCCUACAUCCAGUGUCCCUUUUGAUGAGAAGAAUAAGCCUCAUUCUGAUUCAACAGCAGAGAUCAAAGAAAAGACUUCUGUUUUCUGGCCACCAGAUAUAUGUUAUCUGUGCUUAAAGAAUUGAAAAACACACAUCAAAGGAGAAUUUUCUUGGAAAGAGAGGGUUCAAGCAUCACUGUUAGGUGUGCUGGAAUCCUUUCCCGAGUCAGUACUGCUUUCUAGAAGAAAACCGGGGAGAUCUAUUUGGAAUGUAUCUAACUCCAAAGAAACCAUCAGAGGUAACAGUAGAGACGGGGUUUCACCAUGUUGGCCAGACUGGUCUUGAACUCUCGACCUCGUGAUUCGCCCGCCUCGGCCUCCCAAAGUGCUGGGAUUACAGGUGUGAGACACCACACCCGGCGGAUAGAGAGAAUUUUGACAGAUAUGGAGAAGAGGUGCAACUUUGCUUAUGAAAUGGGAGGGCAAAUAUGGGAAACUUUAAGGUAAGUUUUCUUUCCCCUUGAAGGGGACCAAAAAGUUGUGGUUUAUACUUUCUUGACUCUGGUCACUGUUGGGUGAAGAGUUGGUGCUAUGGAAGCCAUCUUCAGACCAUGAGGGGACAAGUCUGAGGAUACAAUUACAUGCUACCGGUGGCAGAGGACAGUAUAGCAAGAAACUGGAUCCCUGAUGACAUUGAACCAUUGACUGAAUCUACCCUGGAACCAUCAGGAAAUAAUCCUUAGUUUUUUAAAGAUGCUUUUAGUUGUGUUUUUUAUUACAAGUACCUGAAAGCAUCCUAACUAAUCAAUGCUAAAUGCAUCUCUCACAGUUUAUGCUUAUUUUUCAGAAAUGCCUAGUGGAAAUUUCUAUUGCUGAUUAUAAUAUUUGUCCUAAAUAAAUUGAAUAGACUGUCAAUCUUUUGAAAAUAAAAGCAUGACUUGAUUAGCAA
ensembl:lncRNA CDKN2B-AS1 CDKN2B antisense RNA 1